rnacentral:rRNA from 1 species
GACGAACGCUGGCGGCGUGCCUAAUACAUGCAAGUCGAGCGAAUCAUUAGGAGCUUGCUCCUGGUGGUUAGCGGCGGACGGGUGAGUAACACGUGGGCAACCUGCCUGUAAGACUGGGAUAACACCGGGAAACCGGUGCUAAUACCGGAUAAUCCCUUCCCUCUCAUGAGGGAAAGCUGAAAGUCGGUUUCGGCUGACACUUACAGAUGGGCCCGCGGCGCAUUAGCUAGUUGGUGAGGUAACGGCUCACCAAGGCGACGAUGCGUAGCCGACCUGAGAGGGUGAUCGGCCACCCUGGGACUGAGACACGGCCCAGACUCCUACGGGAGGCAGCAGUAGGGAAUCUUCCACAAUGGACGAAAGUCUGAUGGAGCAACGCCGCGUGAGCGAUGAAGGCCUUCGGGUCGUAAAGCUCUGUUGUUAGGGAAGAACAAGUACCGGAGUAACUGCCGGUACCUUGACGGUACCUAACCAGAAAGCCACGGCUAACUACGUGCCAGCCGCCGCAGUAAGAC